UUUUUGUUUUUUUUUUUUGUUUUUAAUCUUAGCGCGGCGCCUCUGAAUUCUAGACCGCCUAGUCUGCUCGUCUGGUUGGUUUUGAAAUUCAGGUCUCUGUCUGCUGACCAAAUCCUCAGUUUGGCUGCGCAUUUCUCCCUCUCGAAUCUCUCAUGCGAAUACUCGAUGCGAGCCAGAUGUUGUAUUGGCAGUGCAUCCUUUCCUAAGGAUAUUUAAGUUGACCAAUUUAACGUGCAAGGUGUGUGCGUUUUUUCUUUUAUAUCACAAGCAGCCUGUAAUUAUUUUUUCCCGUCCGAAAACAUCUUUCUUUUAAUAUAAUUAGCAGCUCAACUGCCGGUUCGUUUAAAAUCGUUUAAAAAAAGUGCAGCGUUUGGUAAUGUUUUUUAAAAAAUGUACCGAUAAAACCUCCAAUGAAAUGGUAGUGUUUGAUCAGUAUAUGCAGCAACAGUGCGCAUGCUCUCAUGUCCCAAUCAGACAAUGAAGUAGAAUCUGCCAAUUUGAAGGGAAUCCCUUUGAAUAAUAACCAAAGAACAAAGAAUAAUAUCCAUUUCUAGAAGUGCUGAUGCAAUUUUGCACCAGGACCAGGAGCCUCUCACGGAGAAGCUUCCGAUUUCAACCCAUCCGAUUGCAAUGCGAUGACGCACCAAUACGACACACUGAAUUCUACGUUACAAGCUUCUCAGAACACCACACUAAUUUCUCACGAGACGUCAUCAUCUGUUUUUUUUUCCUUCGUUUCACUCUAGCAACAAUUGAGGAACGAACGAGCUCCAUGCGAUCAGGAGUCCUCAUGUCGAUGCAACGAUUUCGUCGAGCUCAUCACAGUCAUUUCUUCGAGCACUGCCAUUGGCGAUGCGCUCCUCAUUUUGCUCUGUUCUCACACUCGGCUCAAUCCAUCAAUCAGCUACGACAUGACAGUCAUUUAGCUCACUAGCUGCUGGACCGGGCCGGCGGCGAACCACGGAUGGGCCGGGAGUGUCAGCUGGACGGGAGCCUGCGCCGGCGGGGGCGGCACGAGGGCCAUGGCCAUGGUCGCGGCCGCGGCCUCUCCUCUCUUCCUCCGCUUGGGAGUCCCGGACGAGGAGGACGACGAAGGGGAAGAAGAGUCGGAGCUCGCAGCCGGCUCGGGUGACGGCCGCUUCUCCCCCACGGCGGUGGCGGUGGCCGCGGCCGCGGCCGCGGCGGCGAUCUCGGAGCCGAUGCGGAGCGGGAAGUUGAGGAGCGCGCGGGAGCCGCGCAUGCGGUAGGCGGCGCGGUCGUAGGCCACGGCGGCGUCCUCGGCGUUGUCGUAGGUGCCGAGCCACACGCGCGCGCCGUUCUUGGCCGGAUCCCGGAUCUCUGCGGCGAACUUGCCCCACGGCCGCUGCCUCACCCCGCGGUAGUGCUUGCCCCUGGCCACCGCCGCGGCCUCCUCGCUGCUCCCGGGCGCCGUCGCGGGCGACGCCGCCCCGGCCGUCGGCGUCUCGGGCUCCUCCUCGUGCGACGCGAGGAGGCCGCCGACGCCGAGGCAGGAGCCGAACUCGUAGGGGGAGUCCGGGGACGCCGGGGGCUCGGGCUUGACGGCGGCGAAGGAGCCGUCGGGGAGCCAACCCCGGGAGAAGGCGUCCCGUAGCGCGCCGAAGACGACCAUGUCGUCGGCGUCGUCGGGGCGGAACGGGAGCGACUCGCUCCACUGGUCCGCCACCAGGCUGCCGAAGCUCGUGCUGCGGCGGUACACCGGCCGCGCCGCCGCCGCCGCCGGCUCGUCCAGGAGGUGGUGCCGGAUGCUGUCCAGCGCCGCCGCCUCGCACGCCGGGUUAAGCAGCAUCUUGUCUUGCUCGGACUGUGAUGCGUCACGUGAUCUGGGUUUUUCCAGGGAUUUUUAAGCUUUUGUUUGAGAGGUUGGGCUCGGUUGCGGUUUAUAUAGCGGAGGCUGGAGAAGUGGGGUCCUGUUGUCAUUUGUCGUCGCCUUCUUGGUGACCUUCCUUGAACUUUCCCCGCGUUACUGUCACGUGGCUCAAUCGUUUUGGAAGCGGCAGUUUUUGGCAGUGGGCUUACGAUUUUUUGAAAUAAAAGCUGUGGUCAUACAUACGCACAAUCAUGAAUGCAUUUGGUGACUGUUUUACAUAAAAAAAGAUAAUUUUGAAUAACCGGAUAGGCAGCAUUUUUUUCUUGGUUUUUAUAUUAUCACUAGAGCCUGCUCAUUUGUACGAGUUGAAUCCUAUGUACAAAACUAUAUUAUGCACGCCUGAAAAUAAAGGAAAGCGAGGGUUGCUUUGCUUCUCAAAUGAAAGCAAACUGGUUAACUAUCGCUAAAAAGAGUGAUUAAAAAAAUCGCGCACUCAGAAUGUCACUGUAUAAUAAACACUAUCAGUUCCAUGAUCAUGUGUGCGUUGCUACUGCGGGCCAGCAAAUAGGCAAAGAGCAAAAGAAAAGAUAGGAUGGACUCGGUCAUCGCGAAGACCUAAAUUGUCAUGUCUCUGCAACCGUGCGUUGCAGCGUUCCUAGACGGCUGCACCAUAGACAGUGUUCCAUUCCACACUCCACACCCCCAAAAAAACGAGAGGAGGGUGCGGGGGUAAUGUUUGUGGCAUUUCACUGUACGUACUAGUACUCCUUCCGUAUACGAAAAGGAAGUCGUUGUUUAGAUGAUUUGCGCAAAUGAAGUCGUUUUAGCUCCGUGAACCAACUUUUGGACGCAUUUGCCCCUGGCGCUUUGUUUUCUUAUCCUCCCUUCAUUACUUGCGACGCUUUUGUUUACUGUGCGCUGGCCUCCCUUCCUCGCUAGCUUGCCUGCGCCAUAGAGUCCGGCGCCAUGAAGCUCGCUCGCGCCAUGGAGGAGGCGCUAGACUCCGUCUCGUUGGAGGAGGUGGCAUCGAACUCCUUGCCGCCGGACUCGUUUGUGCCAGACUCGUUUGCCGCCGUCUCAUUUGUGCCAGACUCCUUGCCGCCGGAGUCCCAGGCUGCCGUCUCGUUUGUGCCACACUCCUUGCCGUCGGAGUCCCAGCCGUCUACUUGCGUUUGCUGCGGCACGACCCAUGACUGCGACGAUGUUGAGGGUUGCCGCCUAGCUCGCCACUUGUUAGCAGGUGUGUCUGUUGUGGUCUUGUUCAUAGUGACUACGACCUCGCAGCAAGGAUAAUGGAUGAUAUAGACAAAUUUGAUUGCGAUAUCUAUAUUCCUAAUGUCAAAACGCUUCAAAUGGAUGGCGACACUAUACUUGUGCCUGAGCACGUUUUGAAGAAGCUGGACGAGCUAUGGAAGAUGAAGCAAGAUGCAAGGAAAGAGCAGUAGAUAAUAGGUAAGCUUACACGUCUCAUUCAUUCAAGCUAACAUGCCUCUCCUAAAUUGCUGCCUAAGCUUACACGUCUAACUUUUUUUUUAUGCAGGAAGACUAGUAAUGGCAUCAGCUAGCAACGACACCUCACAAGGGAUUUGCAAUGGCAACAGAUCUUCUUUCUCUAGUUUUUUUUUGCAUCUGAGGAAUCUUGAACUUGUUGCAUCCUUUAACCAUCAUGGCUUCCUUCAAAACACUCUGAAGUGUUAGAAAAAUUCUGUUUGCUUUGUAUAGACAAUACUCUAUGAAUGCCUAAAAACAUGUGUUGAAGAAAUCAAUCAAUGGGUAAAUUAGUUGUUCAAAAAACAAUGAAACAAGUGAACAAUUGAUCCAUUUACCUGUUGCACUGCUAGAACUAGAUCUUCUACUAUUUUUGCAUUCUUCUUGUAUUGAAUAGAUUGAAUAGCUCGAAAAAACCCCAAGUCUAGAAUAUUGAAAUCUGAAGAAUUGGGUGGUUGACAAAUUAGACAAAUGUCAAGUCCUUGUUGCUUAGCAGCCUCACAAAAAACCGGAUCAUUCACAGGUAAAUGGGAAGGUGCAUUAUUUUGUUGUAUGAAAAUUGGUUUGUUCACAUCUUCUCUUGACCAUUUGGCUCGGAUGGCAAGCAAUACUUUGUUUACCAUGAAAUCUCUAGUCACAUCUCUUGUGAUUGAAGUUAUGGGCUUGAUAACUUGGGCUCCACGAAGACGAUUCUGACUUCUUCUUACAGCAUUUCCAUAAGUGUGGAAAGCAACCAAUUUUCCCAUCAAAAAUACACUAUCCAUCCCUAAACCUCAGCCGAGCACAAACACACAAAAACAUGAGCCUAGGGAUGUAAUUCUUGUUCUUACAAGUGCGAUGGGGCUCAUCUUCCUCGGGUAGCAAGUAAUAUUUCUCAGAUUUUUGAGAGAGAUAAAACCAUUUUUCAUCAAUGAACACAAAGUUAAAAAACCCCUUAAAUCUUGGAUCACCAAGUAAUCCCUUCUCAAUCAUGUCAACACACCACUUUAACCGAGACUUCUUGUUAGAAUCUAUGAGGUAUGGUUUGAUGCUACUAGAGUGGCGUCUAAGAAAACCUUUUUUCAAAUACCUUGUAUUUUCCAUUUGCUCAUGUUAAGUUUGCUACACAUAUCUUCUAUGGCCAUUCUUUUCUUAAGAGGAAUGUUGCGCAAUACUUCCAAAUCAACAAGGAUUGCCUUACAACCUAUUGUACCCUCCUUUCGACUAGUAACAUUAACCGAAAUGUUUUGAGAAGGGGGAUUUUACCUCGCUUCCACAAGCGAUGAACAGAUCGAAUGUGAAGUCCAAAUUGUUCAGCUACAACUCUCGUAUUAUACUUGCCUAGUUUCCCAUUCUUAAUUCUAGCCAACAAAGUUUGGAACACUUAUUUUGUGACUUCUUCUUUCGUGUCUUUCCUUCGUCCAUUGACUUGAGCGGGAGCCUCAUCAAUAUCUUCUAGUUGUAAAAAAAACAAGCACAUUCAAACCAACGAUUUUGAUUACCAGCAUAGUUUACUAUCAAAAUAAAAGUUUUCUUCAAAAUCGAAAUUAACUGCACCAAAUUCGUCUAGUGGCAAGUUCAAAUCAAAUCCUAUCCAAAAGGAAACAAUGAUAUGAGAGACGAUUUUUAAAUAUAAAAAGGAAAGAGUGAUAUGAGAGGUGAUUGAAUAUGAAAAAGGAAACUAAUAAGAAAUGGAUCAAAUCAAAUCCUAUGCAAAAGGAAACUAAUAAGAGAGCAUUAUCGUUGCCAUGUUCCAACGCCGGCUCGUUGAGAUCGAACCCAGCAUUGCCAUUGUCAUCUUCCAGUAUAGCUCAUUAAGAUCAAAGCCAGCAGAUAAAUCAGCCAUGUAGAUGAAAGAGCUAGAAGAGGUUACAUGAAUAAGGGAAGAGGUUGCCAUGUUCCAACGCUGGCUCGUUGAGAUCGAACCCAGCAUUGCCAUUGUCAUCUUCCAGUAUAGCUCAUUAAGAUCAAAGCCAGCAGAUAAAUCAGCCAUGUAGAUGAAAGAGCUAGAAGAGGUUACAUGAAUAAGGGAAGAGGUUACAUGAAUAAGGGAAGAGGUGGUGGCGCUUAAAUGGGCACUCAAGUAACCUAAACGUCGGUCUUCACCAGUGAACCGAGCGCGAAUGCAAAAAUACGCGCCCAAACGCGAGCAAGCGGCAAAAAAAGCGCCUUGCAGGAAACGAACCGUGGACCUCAAGCCUUUGAGGUAGGCGCGCUAACCACUCCAGCAAGGAAAGUUAGUUGUAUGGGUAAUACCCGCAAGACUAUUUAAUAAGGGCAAACAGGGAAAAAUACACCAUAAUUAAUCACUCCUUGGUAUGCUAAAUGCUGUCAUAAACGACUUUCUUUUUCUAUACGGAGGGAGUAUCUAUAUGUUCUAUAUGUUCUAGAGCUUUAUUAUAUUCGGAACCAGUGGACAAAAGCAACGUCAUUUUGUGUAUAUUUAACUUGUGCUGAUAGCGGAGCGCUCGAGGUCCUCAUUGCAUUGCACGUGGUGCAAUUCACCGAGCCAUCCAGGGCAAUGAUCGCCCAUGGAAGUAGAUCCUGACUUCUCUGAGGUUCUUGGGCCUUGACCUACUGUAAGCGCCAACAGAACAGUGCAUGCCGGCAUCCAUUUUCUACGCCUGUUUGAUUCAUGGGUCGUCGUGGAAGAAUCAAUGAUAAGACUCUCGACAAACAUUGUUCAUGUGGCUUUUGAGAUGUCAGAGCAGGUCGCGGAGGCGCCGCACCAAGCCGGAAUCAAGUCUCCCGAGAAAAGAGCAGCAUGUCUCGUGUACACAAAGUAGCCGAGCGAAUUGAAAUUUGGAGCCAGAUGAGUGUGUCGUGUUGUUGGGUUCGAUACGCGAGAGUUCAAGAGUAUGGUGGGAGCACUGACAGAGGAAGCCUCACGGGGGCUUCCUCCUCCCUGAAAGUUUCUACCGCUGAACGUGCCGCUCGAGGAGAUUUCAAUCAAUGAUUGGUGCGAAAAAUGUUCCGCGGGGAAAAAUCUACAGGCAUCUUUAUCGGUGUUGGCUAACUCCUUUUUCUUUCUUUGUUAGAUGAAUUGCGCAUAUUUUCUUUUAAGAGCACCGCCACCAAGAUCUCGAUGUGCUGCUCGAUCGUAACAGAAAGAAGGAUGCAACAAUUUACUGAAAUCCCCUAUUUUCUAUGAAGAUCCGGUGGUACCUGUAGCAUCAUCUCGUCUCGCCCGUGCGGGUGCAUCCAUCCGGCUAGGCCCUUUCAUACCCUCCAAUCCAGUUCAUCACUGGCUGCUGCUCGUUCCGUCGUGGCGCGGGAAUUCAGACAUGAUCUCUGAACUGUUCAUUUCGAAACCCCUGGGCCCGAUCAGACAAGACAGCACAUGUCGCCCGCAAGGGGUUGCGGCCGGGCAGGGGUGCGCCGAUAUCUUGGCCUCUUGGGUGCAAUGAACCUGCCCUGCCACCAAAUCCAUCCAUCCAACGGCAAAGAGAAAAUUCCUGAGAGACGAGCUGCAACAACGGGCGUCAUUUUCGACCUGGGAAAAUUAGAUAAAGAAGCGCGAGACUUUUCGCAAAUCCGCACGUGUUCUGCUGACCCGACCACCCAGAAUUCAGAGGACAAAUAAAACAAUGUAGUCAUGGCCGUUGAGAUGCGUGGGGCCAAAGGCCAAAGCCUAUGGAGGAGGAGUAAACGAGGCUGUAGGUCGCAAGCGUCCCCUCCUUCGGGGCAAUUUCCUCACGACUACGACGGAGGCCGCUGUUCAUUCACCGAGGCCUGAUCAUGACAGCGAGGUGGGAACCGGCUCCGAAGGUCGCCGUCAGUUUUAAUUUGUUCUAGGCUUAUUCCACUCCUUUGACGCAACGGCGAUCGAUGGCGACAACCCACAGGUUGGUCGUUGAGUGCUGAUAAGCUAUCACGGUUUGCGAUAGGGAGGUGUGUCGAGUGGCAAGGACUUCCAAGGAUUCCUUCGGGAAGAAAUGAAGCAUCCUUGAGAAUGCCGAUGAAGAGGUAGCGGAUGCGCAGUGGGGAACUUGGAAGCAAUGUGCGGGCAUGCAUAAACAUAGAAUGUACUGGCGGUUCUUAAACUUUUCCAUGAAUAUCACCCGGAUCCUUGAACUUAAAAAAAAAAUGCAUGUUCACGUCAGCGAUUGAAAACAUCGAGCCACUGUAAGGAGAUUGCACAGCUGACGGCGAACAGCUCCCCUGUGAUUGAAAACAUUGGCCAUGAGGUGGAUGCUGGACGCAGUCUGAACUCUGAACCACUUGAGAAGCAACAAGCAAAGGAGAGCUCCUCUGUUGUUGCAUGUGCAUGAUGCUGACUGUUUAGCCUAAGCGUGGCAUCUUACAGAGGUUGGCUGCCCUGUGAAAACAAGAAAACAAAUGAGGAGAGAUAGAGAAAAGAUCCGAAGGAAGUGAUUUCAAAAAAAGAGGUUACAACACAUCACAAGAAGGUGACAACUACUCGACUGGUUAUUUUACUUAUGACCGACUGUCGGUGUUUUAUACCGGCAACCUACCGAGGGGUAUCCCGAGGUAGUAGAUUGGUUGCUGGGGAUCGUCGGACCUGGAAUUCGAAAGUAAAAGUAAGGAUACAAGGCACAGAUUUAUACGGGUUUGGGCCGCCAAAGUAGCGUAAUACCCUACGUCCUGUUUGUGGUGUUGUAUAUUGCGCCCUGCGCUUGGAUGUUAUUUGGUGUUGAGGAUUUGGUCCUCUGUUGUGGUUUUAUAAGAUCUUCGCCUACCGAUCUAGGGACCCCUGCCCUCCUUUAUAUACUCCAGGAGGCGAGAUUACUAGUCGGUUACAAGGAGUCCUAAUAGGAUUACAGAGGAAUCCUAGUAGGAGUCCAUCUUCUACCUUCCUUGUGAGUACUGGGGAUCUAUCCCCGACACUGACGAACUAUGCAACAGAGAAACAACUUCACCACUUUCAGAUGUAAUGGACUAAUGGUGAAUGACCAGACUCCAAGAUGACAAGACCGCAGAUCGUCGUUGCAAAGGAAGGGGGAAACACAGAACUGAUCUCCUUAGGGUGCUUUUACUAUAUCGAAUAGCAGAGUGCUCGAAGAUCAGAUUUGCAGGAUAGCAAACUCUAGCCUCUAGGCUCUAACAGUCCCUCGAAAUGUAGCAUGUGGUGUUACAGGUUUACUUAGGAAGUACUACUACCACCAAACACCAAACAGACAUUGUGAUUCGUGUUUAUGCACAAGGUGACUAUUUGCUGAGGCAAAAUUUCCCUCUCUUUUUUUGUAUUCCCUUUUGGUUAUGACUGUUCAUAGUUCACUGAAAAUCAAGCGCAAAUAAGACAGGAACAUAGUUUAUAACUAUUCUAAGGCUCUAAGCUUGUGGCAUUUCUCUCAUCAGUUUUUACAGGUUCAAAGGAUCACAAUGGAUUCUCAUAAAGUGUGUCAAUUUAUCUAGCCAAAAUUUAAAAACAAAAGGUACUCCACAAAAGUGCUAAAAGGAAACAUACCAAAUUGUCCUGAAUGGGUUUUCUGAGGGGGAGUGCAAAUCCGCAUAAUACUUGAAAUGCAGUCAUGCUAGUGAGCCCAAUUCUUUAAGGCAAUGAGAAGGUCCUGAUGCUUCACUUGGAACCAACACUUCAGAUAAAAAUUCAAGGACACUGUCACCAUAUUAUAGAUGGAUCAGUAGGAAAAAGGGUGGAGAAAAUAAGCAUGACGGAAACAGAUCAAGCAAGUAAUAGUUUUAAAAUUGUUGUGCAGUACCUUAGCAAAGAUGAGCACAGCAUACUCUGCAUUUUUCACUGCAGAAGGGAAGCAUUCAUUUAUUUAAUAGCAUGUAGCUGAUAAAUUAUAAUUCACACAUUGACAGUCUGAUGAACACUCCUGCCUCACUGAAACGGCCCAUUUUAGUAAGUGCACCAACAACUGGCCAAUACGUAUAUUGAUAUGCAGCGAUGCAGGAACUUGACUCCAUCGCAAGAAGAAUUUCCUUAGCUUCAUCAACUCUUCUUUCAUCACAUACAGCUUUUAUCAGGGUAUUGUAUGUGUAACUGUCUGGCGCCACACCAUAUUUUAACAUGGCAGUGAAAAGUUUGUGAGCUUUAUCUAUUUUUCUCAUCCUGCAAAAACUCAAAAUAGGUGCAUUGAAGGAAUAUGCAUCUGGACAAAUGCCAUCCAUUUUCAUUUUAUUAAGAAGAUCGACGGCCUUGUUAACAUGCCCUUCUGAACAAAAUGCACAUAUCAGAACAUUGUAGGUCUGGACAUUCGGCUUAACACCCCACUCCGACAUCUCAUUGAAGCAAGCAAAGGCAUCAUCCAGCUGAUGGGUGUGACAUAGCCCGUCAAUAAGGGAGGUAAAAGUAAUGAUAUCUGGCAUGAACCCAAGUUCCAUAAGCAUCUUCAGAACAGCCUUUGCGUCAUGUACAUUGCCUAAUUUCGAAUAUCCACUUAUCAGUGUGUUAAAAGUCACGAGAUUAGGAAGGAAACCUGAUUCUUGCAUCACUUUGACAAUCUCCAUUGCCAUUUCCACUUCACCAGCCUUGGAGAGGCAAUCUAUCACCAUGUUGUAGGAUGUCACACUAGAAAAGAGCCCAUCCGAAACCAUUUGACUUAAAUACUUCUGCGCCUUUGAGAUGUCCUUGCAGCUCAGCAAGGAUUUGAUGAUCAGAAUAUAUACAUUAAAUCCCAGUUUCCCACCUUUCUUGAUGAAAUCAUCUACCAACUCACAUACAUAACUGAACUCCAAGCGUUUCAAAGCACAAGAGAUCACAAUGCCAAAUGUUGUGUUGCCGAGGGGAUAACCUCUAUUUUUCAUCUUAUCCACAAGCUCAACAGCCUCUUUGGCCAUGCCGUUCUUCGAGAGGCAAUACAGCAAGGUGUGAUAAGCAUUUUGAUGAUGCAGAGUAGGAUGACUCUCAAGCCACUUACUCAAUAUCCUGUAUGCCUUGUCUGUACCCAGGGAACGAAACACACCAUGAAUCAGUGUUCUGUACGUGGCCUCUGUCGUUGCCACACCCUUCUCCUUCAUCUUCUCCAACACACCAACCGCAUCCUCCGCCCUGCCAGCAUUGCAGAAACCAUCGACCAGCAUCGUGUAGGUGAAAACAUUCGGCCUGAUCCCAGCACCCUCCAUCUGUUUUACCAGCCUUAGUGCCUCGUCGACGAUCCCACGCCGGCAGACACCGUGCACGAGUGCGUUGUAAGUGAAGGAGUCCGGGCGGCACCCGUCCGCGGGCAUCUGCUGGAACCUGAGGUACGCGGCGUCGACCGCGCCGGCGCGCACCGAAGCCGCAAUCACCGCGUUGUAAACCAUCGUGCUGGGCUGCAGCCCCAGGCGCGGCAUUUGCACAAACACCUCGUGCGCGUAGUGCGCCAGACCGAGCCUGCCCCAACUCUCCACCAGCGCGCAUAGCAGCUCCUCAGAGACCACGCACCCGCACCCCUGUACCUCGGCGACAAGCGCCGCGGAGAGUACCACGGGCCCGCGCCGCCACAGCGCGUCCCCGAGCGCGCGGCGCACGGACCGGUCCCGCGCGAAGUGCUGGCCGAACCGCGACGCCCAGACGUAGAGGCGCACGCAGAGGAGCGGCUCCGCGGCGGCGUGCUGCAGCGCGCGGACGACGAAGCGCGGGCCCAUCUGCUGGAGGGCGGCGGCGAACUCCGAGUUGAUCCGCGCGAACCAGUUCGGCUCGGCCAGGAGCGACGCCGCGCGGGCCGGGUCCGCGGCGGCGGCGGAUUCCGCAGCAUUCUGGCAGGAUUCAGCAGAAAUGUUGGAUCUCUGGCGGAUUUGGGCGGACAGAUAGGUGGGUUUGGGCAGGCGCGAAAGGAGAUUGGGGAGCAGCCUCCUGCUUCUCAUCUGCUUCAUUGUGGUAGCUCAUGAACUUGCGUACGUACGGCACGAUAUGCAAAGGCAGGAUUCCAUAUACAAGGAGGAAAAGUCGUAGCAUAUGGUACGAUAUGCCGUAUGGGCUUUACCAUAUCCAGACCGGUUGCACAGAGUCCAACAUGGCCCAGAAACUUUGCGCCACGAAUUGCGCGACAGCCCAACUACGUUGCAAUCUUUGAUUGUUGAUGAUGCGACCUUGGAGAACUAGGCCGAACUUUCUAACGAAUGCGGCCCAUGCACCUAAGGCCCUAAAAAGGGCACAUUCCAGGGAGACCGUAGAAGCACAUGGGCAACAAGGUCUUUUCGUCCCACCACCGGCCUUCUUCUACCUCCACUUCCGGCGACCUCGCCGCCGCCGCGGCCAUGGACCGGUGGACCGGCGUCGUACACGUUCCUCUCUCCCGAGGCGGGUCUCUCUUCCGCGUCGCCGCCUCGCUCGUCCUCUCGCCCGCCAAAACGCUCGCCGUAAGGCCAACACACUUUUCCCUUUCCUCUUCAGAUGAUUAUCUCUUGCCUCCACAGCCCCUGAACUCUCUGACGGCACCAGGUUCCACGCGCCAACGCGAUCCUCUUCACGGGCGACCGCGUCCGCGGCACCGGUGACCCGGCGAUCGAGCGGCUCUCCGACGCCGCUCACAUCGCCGGGGUUCUCGCUGGGAAGCUCAGCGGGGAGACCAACGCAUGGGUGGUCGACGCCGCAUGCUUCACGGGGCCAUUUGCGGUGUACCGAGAACUUGUCCCGUCCGUGGACGCCGCUGGACAUCCCAAGGGAUAUAACCCCACUGGCUUCCCAGCUGCUGCCGGCAUUGCCAACAUCCUUGCGCACGGCAUUGCUGAGGUAUAAUGUUGUUGAAUUCUGGGAAAUUUUGCAGCGUUUAGUUCUGCCAGUCCAGUAUUUUUGGCGCGAAGCAUCUUUAUUACAGUUGCAAAGAUAAUAAAUCGCUACAUAGUUUAGAUUUGGAGUUACGAUUUCCGUGCCAAUUUUCCCUCAUAAGGUUUCUAUUACUGAUGCAAUUAAGAUACAUUUGCCAGUGCUAAUAGAUUGUAGGGUAUGUUGUUGUUAGAUUACCAAAUGCAGGAAUUGUGAUUAAAAAAUAGGUAUGUUUUGCCAGUUUUACCAUUUUAGUAAUUAAUAUGGCAGAUGCAAGUUCAAGACUUUAAACCGUUCUUGUAGCAUUCCUGGAAACUAAUUUUGUCAGAUAUUCUUGGAUUUUCUAUUGGGAUAAGGUGUUACUGUUUUUUUUAAAAGUAGGUGUUACUGUUUUAGUUCGCUAAUUGUAGAUAACUGGGCAUACAAAACUAGUUUGCUUACUCAUUUGUUUUUGUUCCAAGAACGUUGAUUGAUUUCUUACUUACCCUGUUAUUAAUUGUUUAAUGGCAUUAGCAGAUGCUCCUCAAAUUUCCUUGCUGAUAUAAUGCUUAGGUAUUGAUGACAUACUGCUCUGGUACACUUUAUACAACGGACUCUUGGUUUAUAAAUUAAGUUGACUAUUUCUAUCAGUAGUGGACAAAAUCUGCUGACUGGUUUAAUAUAACUGCACUGCAUGCAUUAUGUGUUUGACUUCUUUAGCUCCGAAGUUAUUUCAUAAUCUACAUUGCAAAAUCCCAUUAUUCCAAUCUUGUUUCAUGCUAUUAUGAUGUUGACAUAUUGCGUGCCUUAUAGGGUUCUAUUUUUUUCUUGUGUUUCUGACCUAAACUGAAAUAUCCUAGUUAUAUUUUCUUUCUGAAGUAAUCCCUGUUGUAUUUUCUUUUUGACGUAAGUCUAUUUGAAUUAUCAUUCUGCAACUUUCUUGCAGUAGUGUUAAUAUGUGCUUUUCCAUGGCUCAUCUUUAAUCUUUUUCCUACAUCUUGUGUGAUUUGCAGAUACAAAAUAAGUUCUUGGGGUGCUCAGCAAAGGAGUCGGCUGUUAAUCAGCAUCGUUCCGCAACAAUGUCAUCCUACUGUCCUCCUAGGACUAUCAUCCUGGGAUUCAGCAAAGGUGGCGUUGUUGUCAACCAGCUUAUGGCAGAACUUUCGUUUUGGGCAUCAGAAUCAAUGAAAAACUUGUUCGAUGUUUCACAACCGUAUCCAUCUCAUUCAAGCCAUAAUCUCCUGGUUCCUACUUCGAUUAGUGAUGUGUUACCAAGUGUUUCUGAAUUCCAUUAUGUGGAUGUGGGCCUAAAUUGUGCUGGAGCGUACAUUACUGACCAAGCGGUGAUCAAGAAGAUCGGCGAUUAUGUUUUGCAUACUGGUCGGAACCUUCGGUUUGUCCUUCAUGGUACUCCGAGGCAGUGGUCUGAUCCAAACCGGUUAUGGAUUUGCAAGGAGAAAGACAUAAUGCUGCAGCUGCUUCGAGAUGAGGCUCAGAGGUGUGAUGGGAGACUGUUGAUAUCUGAAAAGAUGUAUUUUGAUGGUAGACCUCGCAGUCUGCUGAUGCAUUUUGAGAUUUUGGAAGCAAUGGUUAUUAGCUGAUAUUUAAUCCGUACAUCUUGUAGCCUUAGUAUUUUCUCCGUAUCAAUUUGUACGGAUAACAGGAUGUGAAUAUGCUUGAGGGUCUUAGUUCCUCCGUGCUGACUUCAUCACUGUGCCAUUCUGUUGGUUGUCUUGUACAUAUCAGAAGUCAUAGCUGAACAAUCAAAUACAGUGGAAUAUCUUAAAUCACAUGAUCCACGGAAUACGUAUGUGACGUGUUUUAUCUGAGGAUAUUUUGUUUCGCUUUGGAGAUAAGUGGCUUCUUUUCAUCACGUUUCACCCUUUUGUUUUGUUGCUGUGCUUAUUAAAAGGUUCCCUUCAAGAACUGUCCAUUAUGAGCUCAAGUUUGUCAGUUAUAAAUAAUUACCCUGGUGUCUCGUUUGCUGAUGGAUGACUUGCCGGCCUGCCAUUUUCCUUCUGCCAUGCAGUCGGCGGGAUUUGCCUGUGUCAAUUUUUCUCUAUUCAGCUGUGUGAACGAGUCUCUGGUAAUCAGCAAAACGACCAGAGCUGCAAUGUAGUUGUCGGAUAUAGCACGAUUCGGCGUUCAGCACUGUCGUUUUGCUGCAACUGACACGCACUUUGUAAUCCUGCAGCUAUGACCAUUGCGAUAUGCAAACGAAUGGUGAAUAAUCCUUCGUCAAACAGAAGAAUCUCUUGGUCCACAUGACGCGUCAGAUUAAGCCUCGCGUGUUAGGAUAAUGCCAGUAGUGGAUUUGUUAGUAAAGUAUCAGUAGUAUAGUGUACUAUAGUACAGAAUGCAAUGGUGAUUCCAGCUGCACUCUCACUGUUCUUGUCUCACUCCUCGGCGAACACCUGAACCCGUCAAACCCACAUUCUUUCAAACAUGUUGUCGGAUACUGUUAGGUUAGCACGGGGCCUUUCGAUCCGAUCCAUAGACAAAUUGGGUUGGUGCCCCCCCCCCCUGAUCUCUUGUAUCUUUAUACGCGACGUCCAAAUCCCAACAUGCAGUUCCGGAAAAAAGAGACCUGGCAAUGCAACAAGAUUACAAGGAACCUUGUCAAUUCUACACUGGACAGGCUCCCAUUGGCACCAGUUUGUAAACGUGUAAGACGGUCGCGACCGGAUCACGGAGAGCUUGGACGCAUGCGAUCAGUUGCUCGCUGCUCCAAUUUUUAUGUGCGCGACCGUGUCCGCUCGAGCUUGGCCUCAUGCGCGCGUUGUCCGCCGAGCAGCUAGCGCUUCGCUUCGGUCCUCACCUCAUGCUGCUGGAAGCGAGGCGAUCCGCUGUCUCCUUCGUCGCCCCCUCGCUGCGGGACAAAACACGAGUAAAGACCGCACGAACGGAUCAAAUCAAAUGCAGGCCGACGCUGAUUUGAGUCCAAAAAUACGCUUUUUGGGGGGGCCGUGGUUGCUUCCGUGAUCCAUCUAACCGAUCGCUUCUUGAAACGGUCAGCUCAGACCCAGACGAGAUCACUAGCUCUCUUUGUUUAUUGUUAUCACUCGGCAGACCAAGAUAGGUGAAUGAUCUCGUCUGGUAAUGCCGGAAUUGUUGCCGUAUCGAAGGCGUGCAGGUGUUCGGGUCUCUGAAGCAAGUUGUUAUCCAGUUACACUGCAUUGCUUGCUUGCUUGCUUCCGUCUAGAAGAUACUAGCUUGGGUGUUCAGAGUUCAGUGCCAAGAGCUCCGAGGAGUCUUCAUGGACUCAGAUUCCUGCAUCGGUUUGAGCUCCGAAUCAGGCCGCCGGGGCGAUAGAUUUAUGCGUUCAAAGCAACGCUGCCGUUUUCUAAUGGCGAUCCACUUGACGCACUGACAGGUACACGGUUCUUUCCGGCGACACACGGGUAUAGUAUUACGCUGCUUUUUAGCUGAAAAAAUAGUGAUUGGUACCGGGCUGUAAGCGAGGCAUCGCCGGAUUAUUCUACCCGAUCCGCUCGUUACUACCCAGGAAGGCAAAUGUGGACAGGGUGAUGUGGAUGCUGUGUGUUCUAGCAGGGGCCACGGCAGUGGUCUGCGUGGGAUCAUCUCCGGUUGGUCUGCAAUUCUAGUACACCUCUACCCCCCCGCGCGUCCCGAUCAAAUCCCCAUCGCGCGCCCCCCGCCUAGUGAAUGUAACCACUUACCAGGGGUCUUGAUAGCAAAAUCUCGUAUAGGGACCAGACCCCGUUAAACUAAUCCAGUUAAUAGAAGACUACAUCUUUCUUUUUAACGGAAAAGGUACUGGAAGACCAGAUCACGAAAGGUAGAAAAUCCUAGAAGACCAGAGGCCAGAGCCAUGCUCAAUUUCUUACUAGUACUGCGAUUAAAAACGGAAUGAAUGUGAACACGAGAGCAGCGUUGUUAAGCUUAAGCAAGCGCGUUGGUGCGUGAUCUGGCAAUGUAUUUUCAGGUCUGAAUGUGGUAACAAGCCUAAUCCUUCUGUCCGCUAUGCAGGAACAGGACAGCAUUGUGUAUCAUGUUACUAAUGGUUAUAAAAGAGAUUCAGGAACACGAGAGAGGAUAAGGUGGCGACUGGCGAACGCAAAACCGCGUGGCUCGGAGAUCCGGGGCACACCCCCUCUGACAUCAGGGCGACCUGGCCUGCCCGUGCGGCCGGCCGGCUCGGUGAUCGGCUGAUUUCCGCCCGUGCUUACGCCUCGCAAGCGUCCAAGGUCCAACGGAGGCGUCCAAGGUCCAACGGAGGAGAGCGAAAAUUCACCCGCCCCCACCCCCCACACGGCCACACCCGCGAGGCCGCGACGAGAGCUGGCUGGCUGACCUUGCUCGGCCGGAGGACGCGGUCCAAAGCGCAAAUCCGGUUGGGGCGCAGCGCUCAUGUGGGAACCGAUAGGAACGCCACCUGAUACGUGUCAAACGGCGGUUGGCCGUUAACAGCUGACAAGGCAGGCAGCUUUUUAGCGGCAGGUGUCACUGUACCGGCUAGCUGUUUGGGUAACGACGAUAUACCCGUGUUGCCGUGUGUGGCGCCGCCCCGCGAGGUCCAUGACGCGUGCGUGCCGGGCCGACGAGCCGGCCGGCCGGCCGGGCUAGCCAGCCAGUCGGCCACCGUCUCAAUUAAUCAUAGGUUAAUUAGCGGGGCAGUGAUCAGGCUCCCCCCGUCACGUCCGCUGCAGAAAAAACCAGCGGCGGUGAUGGGAAUUGGAUUAGGGAGGGAGGACGUAACGGAGAAGAUCCGUGCACUUUAGGACGUACCCCGCAGAACGAGUUCCACGAUAUUAAUUAUGGUUUUACCGAACGUGCCCUAGCGUCGAAUUGAUCGUGUAGUACUCGCGUACCGGUGCGCGUACAACCUGGAAAUCCUCGGUUUCCGCAAGGAAAAAUAGACUUGCCGAGCUGCAUGUGUACGCGAUCAGCGUUAUACGACGCUGGAGCAUGUACUACGCUUGAGCGUUAUGCGAUCGUGUGAUUCGGCAGAUGCUGUCCUAGUGCCCUGCAGGUUUGGAUCAUGACGGCGUUUAGCUCAUCGUAUCUUUCCGUCAAGGUUACACGAGUUCAUCGAUGCGAAUCCAGUCAAUUAUCCAAAAAAAAAAAACCGCAUCCAGUCGGCCAUCCAUCCAUACAUCAACACCGGCAGAUCGAUCGAUCGCCAUCUGCCUUAACUGACGGUGGCCAGCUGCUCCGAAGGUCAGAGGGUCGACCACAGCAGCUCGAUCGAUCGGGGUCGGCUUGCCGAGACAGCGGCACGGCAGACACAUUGAAAGCAGGGAGCGAUCCAAUGCAGCAGCCAGCAGGCAGGCUCUGCUCUGUAGUUUGCCGGACAAGGCCAGGUCCGCUGGAUCUGCGUCCCACGGGUCAGCCUCACCACCUUCCGUUUCCGUCCCUUCCUUGCGAUCUGCGAACAGAUACGACUCGUGUGUCAUCUGUUGGCUUGGGACCCAGGCACAGCACGCGUCGUGGUCAAUGCUGUCUCUGCAGGGCGUGUCAACCAUGCAAGUAGCAGCACAGCGAGCCACUAGCUUAGCCUCACUGAUUAUUGCACUCGGAACUAAAGGCACAUCUUUAACUAGUACCAAUUUUUAAUACCAAUCAGAACUAAAGUAUUUUGUGUUAAAAAAAUAUUAGAAAUUCUCAGGAGGCUCCAAUCACAAGUCACGCAAUUUUUCACACGAAAUAUACGCAUGCGCAGUGCGUGGCAUUUAAACCUACAACCUCUUACCUCACACAUAGCUUCUUACCAUCUCACCUACAUAGCACAUCUAGCUAAACAGGCGAUGCUAUCUUUUUGUAUUCAUCUAAGGUGACCUUUAGUCCCGGUUGGUGUGUCCCCACAGGUUACGAAAUUUAGAUCUGAGACUAAAGUCUAUUUAAUUCCGGGUCAAAAACGAUUGAGAUUUUUAUUGAGGGUGGAAGUUCGUUUCUCUACCUAGUGCCUGCAUGCUACGUCAAGUUUGUUCGCAUGACAAUACAUUGUAUAUGGAUCACUAAACUGUUGUUGUAAUUAGGUUGAUAUGAUGUGUUUGACGGUCUUGCUGUAAUUUAACCUCUUUCAUCAGACCAAAAGGAACUUUGGCGGUCGUCAAGACACAAAUUUGUACACUUUUAUACAUGGUUCAUCGCACCGUUAGUCUGUUUUAAACACCAUUUUGAACACUACGUGGUGACCAGUCAUGACCAUUUUAUCUAGUUCGAACGACCAUAUGCCUAUUUAAACCUCUAUUUAGCCGGCAGUGACGGAUCUAGAAUUUGAAGGGAGGGGAGCCCUCCUCUCUUUCUCUUCUUUUUCCUCCUUAUUUUUUCUUCCUCCUCUUCAUUCAUAGCUGAAAUUUUUAGGGAAAUUUCGGGGGCUCUGGGCUGCGUGGGGUACUGGAUCCGCCCCUGUUAACCGGAACAAAGGACAAUAAUAGUGACCGGCUAUUUAGCAUUAACGUUUAGGCGAGCUUUUCCCCUAUGGAACUACAUUUAAGACGAACAUGUUCAUAUUAUUUUGAAACAUACAAACUUAUCCCGUACAAAUUAACCUGCAACCAAAUCUGAAACGGUUGAAUGAAGACUACCGAAAUUGUCACUUAUUUUUGUGACCGGAGGGGAUGUGGAUCACCAUUGUUUGUGCAACAAGGAUAUCUUUGCCGGAUAAUCCCACUUUCAUUUUUAGUUUAGCCGGUUCGUUAGUACACGAGCUUAAGCAAUCACCCGACUCCAAAAGCGGUCUAUGCGUCUCGCUAAAAAAUUAUGGAGCCCGUAAUAUUCCUCCUCGUUCCAAUCUCCUCUCACUACUAAACCCGGAAAUCAGAAGGGGAAAAAAAAUUCCUCCUCCCCGCCUAUAAGUACGCCAGCAGCCAACCCCCCCAGCUCAUCUCAUCGCAGUCUGCAGUCGCGCACACAUCCAAACUCCCGAGUCCCCUGCCUGUCUCGCUAGCUCAGCUCCACACCACACCGCCAGCGAGCUAGCACGACGAGCACGUCGUCACAGAACCGAACCAUGGACUACAGCGGUGAACUCGACGACUUCUCCCUGCAGCUCAUCCGCGAGCAGCUUCUCGGCGGCGAGGCUUUGGCUUGCCUCCCCGUCGGUCCUGACGCCGCGGCGGCGUACUCUGCGUCGUCAGUUCAUCCCGCCGCGCAGGCGGCGUUCCACCACCAGCCCGCGGCGUUCGUGCCGCACCAGCACCAGCAGCAGGCCGCGUACGUCGACUUGACAAACGAGUACGCGGAUGCCGCCGCAGCCGCCGCGGUCGUCGAGGCGGCGGCCUUCAGGGCGGAGCCGGUGAUGAUCCGGUUCGGUGGCGAGCCUUCGCCGGUGUCCGACCCCAGCCGGAGGCCGCUGCUCACGAUCUCCCUGCCCCCGACCUCGCACGCCUGGGGCGGCCCGGCGGCCGCGCCGGCGCAGGCCCUGGACGCGAACGACUUCCGCAAGUACCGCGGCGUGCGGCAGCGGCCGUGGGGCAAGUUCGCGGCGGAGAUCCGGGACCCCAAGAAGCGGGGCUCCCGCGUGUGGCUCGGCACCUACGACACCGCCAUCGAGGCGGCGCGCGCCUACGACCGCGCCGCGUUCCGGAUGCGCGGCGCCAAGGCCAUCCUCAACUUCCCCAACGAGGUCGGCUCCCGCGGUGCCGACUUCCUCGCGCCCCCGCCGCCGCAGGCGUCCCAGAACAAACGGAAGCUGCAACACGACGCCGCCGGGGCCGAGCCAGCAGCGAAGUCCGUCAAGGCCGAGGCGUUCGGAUCGCCGGCGUCGUCGUCCCUCACGUCAUCGCUGUCCCCCGCGACAACCACGGCCUCUACGGUGACGGCGACGUCGUCCUCGCCGUCGUCCGAGGCUGGAGCCACCGAGAUGUUCCCGUUCCCGAUGACGCCGUCGAGCUGGACUUGGGAGCAGCUGGAGGGCGUGUUCGGCAGCCUGUCGCCGCUCUCGCCGCACCCGCAGCUGGGCUUCCCGGAGGUAACCGUUAAUUGAGCGGUUAUCGGCCGCUUAAUCAAGCAUGAUGAUGACUAGGUGUAAAGACGUUAAUAAUCAUUAGCGGUUUUUAGUUAUGGACGACGGCCUCGGCUUUGGACUCAUCUCGAGGAUUUGGCGUAGCUUGGAGCUGCAUGCGUGUGUGUGUACAGAAUGGAGGGUGAUAAUAGAAUAUUUUAGGGCAAUGUGUCGGUGAACUACACAUUGACACAGAUCGAUAGAUGUGGAAAUAUAUACAUACGGGGGGUAAUAAUAUCAGAAAUGAUAGUCUGAGGUGCUUGAUGUGAUUUGUACAUUAAGUAAAGAAGAGUGUACCUGUUUUUAUUUAAUAGCUGUACACUUGUGAAUCAUUUUUAUAUCGCCAGUUCGCCGUAUAUAUCUAUGUUGCUUUUGCCUUUUUCUGGUGCCAUAAAUUUGAUCUAGACCUUGAUAGAUCAUAGGUGUACUAUGUAGGAGGCACAUGUACCUAUGGAGUGGCAUAUACUGAUGUAUGUGGUGAAACUGCGCCAACUGACGUUUCGUUUUCAAUGAAAAUCAAGCGCGAAAUAUUCAAAUAUUGAUAUUUGAGAGAUUCAAAUUUUAGUAUGGGCGUGCUACUAGACGCCAGGAGUCUGGUCAAGUUUGGCAUCUUGAAUACCAACAUACAUAUACAGAAAUUUGGAUGAAAUUCAACCAAAACAUGGUAACCUCGAAAUGUUUGCAUACCAACAUGUAUAUAUAUCUCGAAAUGUUUGCAUAUUGGAUCUACAAGCAAGACUGUUCUUUUGAUCGUGAAACUUCGCAUAGGUACAUGGUUAUAGUUUGAGAAGUUCUAGAACGUUCCGUCCCUUCUACUCGACACAAUAUGUAGCCGUUUUUAUGCAUGAGACGUUUUGCGUGCAAAUGCAAAGCAUGGGAGCAUCAUCUGAACUGAUGGUCAGAGCAACCAUUUUAAGCUUCUGUAAAUGUUCAUCAGGGAAAAAAUGAUACUACCAGCUAAUUACUUUAUUUGCUCAAAUCAACCGUAACUCCGAUGUCAAUCGUCAACUGCUGCAAGCAGUCCGUUACGUACGUGGUCUGAUCAAAACGGAAUCCAAAGGUGGCAGGCUCAAGAAUUGUACGAGAGAGUUUACCGCCACAUGGCUACUCUCCGUCAGUUCCUUGCGCGACUGGGAUCCCAGCAGCACGCAAUCUACAUUGGUAAUUACGUUAAGGAUCUCCUAUGGAUCAGACUAACCAGCUAUGCUACUGUUUAAGGAAGAUGGCAUGAAGCUGCAUGUAACUGAUUUUUUUUAAACGAACUGCAUGUAAUUAAAUAAAGUCAGACACUAACACUAGACGAUGGUAGACUGUCAACAGUUCCCUACAUACUCUUAUGUUUGAAUCUAUGGACGUGCAAUGAAUCUUGCCUUGGCGCGUGAUUCCUGCCCAUCGUCGCCGCAUGUUCAGCAAGCAUCAGCUCAAAUCCAAGGAACGGAUCAAAACGAGGCAGCGAGUGCGUGCAUGUACUUCGAUCGGACGGUUGAUUUGAAUAAUCUGCGUUUGACGGAGAGGAAUGGCUUCCGCUUCUGACUCUCGUUGAGGAGGGAGGCCGAUGGAUGCAGUCAAGAAAUGACGCAGGUUGAGAUGGCGAGGAGUCUAAGCUGAUGGAGAACAAUGGUCAAUCUACUCUUUUUUUCCUUGUCAAAACGGAAAUUUUCAGGUCUCUCAAUUAGUUCACGACGCAGUCUAUGUUGAGCUGAAACAUACGCUCAUUGGCUCAGGAUAUCAUGGAGCACAGCCAAACACAGUCUCCCCAAAGUUACUACCAGCAUUGCUACAUCCCUGUCAUGGACGAGGGCAAUUCCAUUCCAUUCCAUUCCACGAAAGAAAGCUGUAUAGAACUAUAGAUGCUACGUCUUUUAGAGCAUCUGCAAAACAAGCGGGCGUAAGAUUCACGUCCAGAGAGCAAAGAUACGCCCUAGUACUCCCGCAGCUUGAGAAAGCGCCGCGCCCUUUCGUGGCAAAGAAUCGACGUAAAAAGCCGCAAAAACUUACUCGGGUUUACGAAAGCGCAAGGCUGCGUCAAUGGUCGAGGAAAUUUGGCAUCCCGAGGUCAGCCGGCCGGUCGCGGGUCAAGCUGCCGUUUGCAAUUGUUGGCCGUGGCCUACAUGCUACAGGGCUAGCAGUAGCAGCUACGACGCGCGGCGGCAACGAGUCGACGACACCGGCGUCUGGUCCCAGCUCCAGGGUAGCAAGCAGCCAAGCACCGAGGCUGGCGCUGUCGCAGUUCGUUAAAGGGCCACGACACAUCGCCGGAGAGCGUUGGGUGGCGAGGGCCUAGGGUAGCAAGGCGAUUUCAUACAGCCUUUUUGACGAGUCAUGUGAAUCUUUCGAAUUUUAUAUUCUAUCGAACUUUGAGAGCUGAAAAGAAGGAACAGGUACACGGUCAGAACCACUCAUAUGGAUUGGUGGAUUCAAAGUAAAAACUGAAUGCCGCAGUUGAUCCAUCGCGCUGCAAUCCACUGAAAAUUGCAGUGCUGACUAGUGCCGUACGUGUUUCCGCGUCAGACAAUUCGUAGCAGGUUCAAAAUCCCUUUUUGUGACCCCAAUUUGGACAUGUCAGCUCAAUCAUGUCCAGGACAUCAGCUCGCUGUCAAGCUAUUAGUUGAUUUGAUCGAAACAAAAGUCAACCUCCUCUGUGCUCCGCCAUACGUAUGGCGAGCACAGGAACGGAUCAAACGAGUACGGACCCUCCCAGCCCCCAAUUCGUCAGCCAUGUUUCUCCGUUUCAGUUGGACAUCGCAAGCGAUCUGCAGCUGCAAACAAAAGCCGCGAGGGGAAGAAACUACUGGAAAUAAAGCAAAGUCUACGGGCUUACAGGCACCGGCCGGCUUGAUCGUCGAGGUCAAAACUGACAAGGAAGGGAGGGAGCUGCUAACCGCUAGCUCUCGCAACACAAUCAAUGCGGCCUGCAUUCCAAUUUCCUUAUCCGGCCUCUCUUUCUGCGUGCCAGCUGCAAAGAAAGUCAGAAAUCUUGUUGGGCACUCUCUGCGAAGGGUUGGCUGGCAGAUCAUGGCCGGAGCCGCGGCACGCAGGGUGACGACGACUGAUCGAUCGGGACUGGAGUUAAUGAUCCUGGAAAUGUAGUAAGGGGGUUUUACUUUGAUGCUGUUUCGUGCUCUGCUAACCCUUUUCGUGCUGUUUUGUCCCGCGCGAGUAACUGUGUUUUCACGAAUGAUUCAAGGGCUGACUUUUGGUAUUGGAGGGAGAUGAGAUGAUCGUGGACGCGGUCGCCUGUCAAAGUGUCAAGUCGGGGGUGUAAACGGCCGACGACCUCUGUCCGCACACAGUGCACAGCUGGCUAGUGAGGCUCUGACUUGAGCACCUCGGCACUGCACGCCUGUGUCUCUUUCGACGUGGACGAGAACGUGUGUGUGGUUGGCAGCUUAGUCGAGCUGCAGGUUACGCAUCUCUGGCCAUGUUUAUGCUACGUCAAGAACCGGGAGCUAGCCAGAAUACAGAGAAACACAAGCUGGGAAUUUGUUUGCACGAGCUUGAAGUAACCUGCAUAUUUACGGGUAAACACUUUUCUGUGAGGUAUCCCGUAUCCUUUAUAAAUACUUCAUUUAUAUAUCGUAUAUACUUACGAAUUACUAUUUGAUUUGAGCCUCUGUACUAUACAACUCAGAGAAUUUUUUUGGAAGAUGCAAAGACAAAAUCUCGUUUUAGCAAAUCCUUCCGAAUUUAUUAUGUGGGGUUCAGAAACUCUCAGGUCGCCAGCCCUGUAUACGUGUUCCAUUGUGUCCAGAAAUCCUCAAAAACGAUACACCAGUUUGACUUGCUCCUCUGGAUGCAACUCAAUGAAAUUCCAGUUCAAAUAUCUUUCUUCAGGAAAUCCUGCAGAAUUUAUUACGUGGGGUUCAGAGACUGCCAGGCCACCAGGAAUGCAUACACGCUCCAUUGCGUUCAGAAAUUCUAAAAAGGGCCCACCCCGCUCCCAUUUUUUUUAAAAUAAAUUAAUUAGCUCGUUCUAAACAUCAUACAAUAGAUUUAAAAACAGAGGGAGUGUUUGAUUUGCACCUCUGGAAUGCACAACUCAGAAAAAAUUUUAGAGUACGAAAACACAAAUCUCGCCUUAGCAAAAUCCUGCCGAAUUUAUAUGAUGUGAGGUUCAGAAUCUCCGAGUCUCUCAGGCCACCAGUUAUGCGUAUGUGUUCCAUCGCGUUCAGAAAAUUAUCAAAACGGUAUCCCUGUUUGAUCUGCUCCUCUGGAUGCAGCUCAAGUUCGUUCUUGGAGUCCGAAAAAUCAAAUCCUCUACUUUUAGCAAACCCGGCCGAACUCAUUACGUGGGGUUCAGAGACUGCCAGGCCAGCAGUUUUGCAUGCGCUCCCCUGCGUUCAGAAAUUCUAAAAAGCGAACGACAGGUCAGGUGCUCCACGAGCCAUACGUUGAGCCAGCCAACAGAGGGGCUACGUGAAGUUCCGUGACAGGAUCAUCAGCACCGAUCCCCAACGACAUCGUUGACGCGUGCCUCCGACCAUCAGUUCCUCGCGAAAGUCAGCCGCUCCCGAGCUCCAAAGUCUUCCUGCAGGUAGAACGAACAGCGACGGAGGAGCUAGAGCUAGAGACGCGGCAGUGAGCUCGAUCCGUUGAUGCGGAUCGCGGAGCCAGGACCACCGUCUGUCCAAAAGUCAGCAGGCGUCGAUCAAUCGUUUUCCGCCGACGAGCGCAGUGCACAGUGCUGCAGCGAGCUUGCGAGCCCAUUAAUGGCGACCAUGCAGAUGUAGUGGAGGUCAACCCCAGACACACAGACAGACACGCCCUCUCGAUCGCUCCCGCGUUUCGUUCGGCACUUGUCUUGUGAUCCCAGCAACCUGGCCGGCGGCGGUUCACACGGACACGGUGGGUUUCGCCGUUUUGGCCGUGCCGUGCGAGACCCAUUAAAACGAGCGGGAUCGAUCCGGCCCGUCUGUCGGUCGGCGCCGGGGUCGCUGUAGUAACCGCCGCUCCGCGCCGCCGGGGCACGCGCAGCCAAACACAGAGCGGAGCCGCGCAGGUCAGCUGGUGUUCCAUCACACGGCAUGGGCGACACGGCGCGGCUCCUGAGCCAGACGAGGGGCACACGCGUCGCCCGGGCCCCGCGCGUAAAGUGCACGGGGAGGGGACGCCACGCAGCACGCACGCCGCGCGACGCAGGGGGGCAGGGGCUAUCUAUCCAUCGCGCGCGGCUGUCGUUGCGCUUCCGCCGGUUCACGGCUCGGGUAGGUGUCAGCACACUGAAAUGCCGAGCGCCGCUACGAGGCGGUACGUGCCCGGGAAAUCCACAGUUCCACACGUACAUCCACACUGGACGGCUUGUAACCGCUAAUACUCCUACGUGGUCCCGUGGACAUUGCUGGCAGGUGCUGGCAAUGGCAUGCUGCCACAUUUUUCAGAGGUGUGACGUGCUGCCCGAAUGCUCAGUGAGACGUGUGUCCCUGUGAUAGUCGCAUGAAAGCUGUGUUUGCGAAAGAUGGAUCUCGGAUAUAUGCGACACUUGAGAUGGCAGUCACACCCAUGGGUACGGGUAGCUACGGGUUUGGCAUUUAAUAGGUGCGGGUGUAGAAUUCCACUCAUAAAUUUAGACAUGACCCGACCCGUACUUAGGUGGGUUAGGGGUGGGUGUAUUCACCCAUGGAUGCCCGGUGAGUGCCCAAAAUCCCUUAAAAUAUUGACCCUAACCUUUGUUAAAGUAUUAAAUUAUACUAAUAUAACGUUGUUGAUGUAUCAUGUAUUGUGAGGUGAAAGGUACUGGACUAUAUUGACAUGAAAUUAUUUAUGUACCAUCAUAUGAAAAUUUUAACAUGCGAUUUUGUUAUCAGUUGUUAUCAGUGAUGGACUAUUCUUUUAUGAGAUGAAAUAUAAAAGUUUGACUUCAUAGUAUGUUGCUCAAAUUGCAUUUUGUGCGUCAAAUUCAUAUAUCAUAUGAUAAUGUUGAUAUAUUUUGAACACUUUACUUCUUUAAACAAAUCCAGUGAGCACCCAAAAUCCGACAGGUGCCCAGCAGAUACGGGAGUAGUGCAAAAUUUCACCCGUUAGACAUUAUAGGUGUGGGUGUAACUAAAUAUGAUGGGUUUCAUCGUGGGUGAGUUUUGCUCACCUGCACCCAACUCGACCCAUUGCCAUCCCUACGCGACACAAGGUUUGUGAUCGUACCGAGGGUUGAGGGCACAUGUUAACACGAGCCACCAAACUUUAUUACUGGAAGUGUGGAAUGUGGAAUCGGAUUCAGGUCAAAGUUCAUGCUUACCUUUAUGCUUGAGCCGAUAUAUCAGACAUUCAGACGAUAUCGAGGGGGUGUUUGAUACUAGGUGCUAAACUUUAGCAGUAUCAUAUCGGAUGUUCGGAUGUCAAUUAGGAUGACUAAGGGCCUCUUUGGGAAGGGCCUUUUAACACAUUUUGAACACCUUGGCUGCCAAACACAAGUGUUAAAGAUGAAGUGUUAAAAUUUAACACCUCUCUUUUCAUAAACACAUGGAGGGGGUGUUAAAAUGUGCUAAGGUGUUAAAAGUGGUCCCCCUCCCCACUUAUUCCCUGGUUGCCCCCCUCUCUCUCCUCUUCUCUCUCCUCUGUUGCCCCCAUCUUCCUUCCCCGAUCCGCGCGUCGCGCGCCGCCGUCAGUCCGCCCGUCGCGCGCCGCCGCUGUGCCCGCCACCACCGGUCCGCGCCGCUCCUGCGCCGGGAUGCUGCGCCGGGCGGCGGGCGGCGGCCUCGCGCGGGCGAGGCCGCUCCGGUGGUGUGGGGGACCGGCGGGCGGCGUGGUGGUGACGGUGGGGGCUCGGGCGGGCGCGGGCGCGGCCGCUGGCGCCACGGUAGGGGACGCCGGCGGCGGGGCGGGGCCGUAGGCGGGGUCGGAGGCAGCAGGCGCAGGGGAGGGGCCGGAGACGGUGCGGCCGGCGGUGGGAGGGCAGCGCCGGCACCGACGCCGGGCGCGGCAUGGAUCGAGCAGGGGGAGGGGCCGGCCAGGGAGCAAUGGCGCUGGGGGCCGACCAGGAGGUGGCCUUGCGUGCGCAGCCAGGAAAGGAGGAAGAAGGAAGGAGAAGAAGGAAGAAGGGGUAUUUGGCUGCCAUUGAGAGGAGUAAUGAGGGGUAAAGUUGUCAAUUACAACCUAAGAUGUUAAAGUUUAACAGAUCAUCCAAACACCUCAAGAUACUAAAGUUUAACACCUCAUUUGAGGGUGUUAAAGUUUAACACCCUGUUAAAUUUUAACAUGCCCUUCCCAAAUAGGCCCUAAACAUGAACUAAUUAUAAAACUAAUUGCAGAACCCUGUGCUAAUUCGCGAGACGAAUCUAUUAAGCCUAAUUAAUACAUCAUUAGCAAAUGGUUACUGUAGCACCACGUUGUCAAAUUAUAGAUUAAUUAGGCUUAAUAGACUCGUCUCGCAAAUUAGACUCCAUAGUUUUGUAAUUAGCCUAUGUUUAAUACUCCUAAUUAGCAUCCAAAUAUCCGAUGUGACAUGUGCUAAACUUUAGCAGGGUAUCCAAACGGCACCUAAAUCAGUCGGUUUACAAGUAGUAGGAUAUGGAGGUCCUAAGGAUGACCGCACCACGCCUACACCAAGCCAACCGGUAAAGCAGGAUAGCCCACCAUCAGCACUCCUUUUACAGUUCAGGAACGGGUAGCACGCUACUGCCGGAGGGCCUGUAUACGCCCCCCCCCCAAUCAUUGCCGCAGCCCGUCACCGAGAGCGGAUAUAGGUGUGGAACCCGUUCCGAGAGCGGAUACAGGCACGGGGCGGAACCUCUACCUGUCCCGAUCUCCUGUAGCGAAUGGAGAUUUGGUGUACCUCAUAGUGGCGCGCGGUGCAGCUCCUCCACUGCCAUAUUAUGGGCCUGUUUGGCAACUAUGUGUUAAAGUUUAACACCUGUCACAUCGGAUGUUUGGAUGCUAAUUAGGAGUAUUAAACAUAGGCUAAUUACAAAACUAAUUGCACAGAUGGAGUGUACUUCACGAGACGAAUCUAUUAAGCCUAAUUAGUCCAUGAUUUGACAAUGUGGUGCUACAGUAACCAAUUGCUAAUGAUGGAUUAAUUAGGCUUAAUAGAUUCGUCUCGCGAAUUAGCACAGGGUUCUGCAAUUAGUUUUAUAAUUAGCUCAUGUUUAGUUCUUCUAAUUAGCAUCCGAACAUCCAAUGUGACACUGUUAAAGUUUAACACCUCGUAUCCAAACACCCCCUAUAUUUGCAGGUGAGGUCCGUUCCCAGGUUCCGGGAGCCUAACAGGAGACUCUGUCAGACUGUCAAAGCCCUACAUUGCAGGGCCUUUUCUUUUUCUUUUUUUUAGAGGAAUGCAGGGUUUCUUCUCAUCGUAAUGUUGGUGGCUUGGUGCUGGCCUAAGUCGGGCCUCUUCCAUUUCCAAUUAUCCAUGGGCCACUGGGCUUUGCAAGAAUUGUCUUGCCUGGCCCGCGCUCCCUCGACAGGGAAAAAUGUUUAUGAAUUGAUAUAUCAUUGUUUUCCCAAGUCAGCUCUAUCCUUCCAGAUAAACGAGCUACAUUCAUAAAUCAAUCUCUUCCUACCAUUGAUAAAUUAGUAACCAAGUGGAUUGUCUUACUUGUUAGAAAACCAAACAAACAAAAAGCUGACAACAAAGCUGUUAUUCAAACAGGUAAGCACGGUAGCAGGUACAAAAGGGACCAAUUGGAUCGAUUCAGCAUAGCCCCAAUACGCUGCAACUUAUUUUAAAACACUGUCCACAGUACAAAUCUAUGCGAAAAUUAACAGUACACAAGCUGGACAAUAGCAAGUACAGGUUGAUCCCAAAUCCAGUUUUACACACUGCA
rnacentral:lncRNA from 1 species